rnacentral:rRNA from 1 species
GGGGAAUUUUGGACAAUGGGCGCAAGCCUGAUCCAGCAAUGCCGCGUGCAGGAUGAAGGCCUUCGGGUUGUAAACUGCUUUUGUACGGAACGAAAAGCCUCUCUCUAAUACAGGGGGGUGAUGACGGUACCGUAAGAAUAAGCACCGGCUAACUACGUGCCAGCAGCCGCGGUAAUACGUAGGGUGCAAGCGUUAAUCGGAAUUACUGGGCGUAAAGCGUGCGCAGGCGGUUUUGUAAGACAGUGGUGAAAUCCCCGGGCUCAACCUGGGAACUGCCAUUGUGACUGCAAGGCUGGAGUGCGGCAGAGGGGGAUGGAAUUCCGCGUGUAGCAGUGAAAUGCGUAGAUAUUAGGAGGAACACCAGUGGCGAAGGCGACUUACUGGACUGUAACUGACGCUGAGGCGCGAAAGCGUGGGGAGCAAACA